UGCUUAUGACCACAUAGUUUUGAGUUAAACCAUAUAGAAAUAUCCAUGAUACUCCAUUGGGUACCCAGCUUUGGUCUGUGACUCUUUUUUUUCCAAACAAUUAGAACUAGUUUUAGAUUGGAGUUGAAAAAUUUGAAGGAUUUUAUGACGACUCCACCUCCUCUUAGGGUAUACCCCAAGAUUUAGUGGGUCGCCUACCUGGCUUUCGUUAGGAGUCACUCACAAACCGCAAUCAAUAACACUAAAGUCCUUUAAUAUAACAUUUUCAUGCUACAAAUCGUCCAAAUAUUCAAAUUAAAGUACAAGCCAAAAGAAAAGAGUUUAAAUGGCUAGUUCCAUAAUACAGUAUGUUAGCCAAAUACAAGAUCCAGAUUUCCUAUUAUAAACUAUUGCUAUUCUCCUCUCUCUCAUACCCACACCCUAUUAAGGAAAGGAAAUAAUGAGAUGAGUUAAAAAUCCAGUGCGGUUCUAAAAAACAAUAAGCAAUCUAUCGGACAUUAUAAAAUUCACAUGAUAGCAUGAUCAUAUAUUUCAUGAAGCAAGCAAUAUCCAUAUAAAUUAUUCAACAAUAUACAGUCAAUAACAUAUUCACGUAAAAGAAUAUAGUUUGCUUUUGCGAACUAGUUCCGUAGAAAUAGUAUGCUCUUGCGAGCCAAUUCAAUAGCAACUUAUCCAGCAUCCGUUGACACUUCGUCAACGUUGGGAAUACAGAAAUAAUCCAAUAGAUUACCACAUCACUCCAAUCUCCAUCCACCGAUCAUCCUUAUACUGGGCCCACAUACCAAAUAUAACAGUAAAGUAAUAUUUGAGUAUACCGAAUCCAGUGUAAUAAACAAUAAAUACUACCCAUGAUUCGUUAAUUGCCUCUAUCAAACCCUUGGUAGUUCACUUCGACCAACUAACUAAUGAGGUUUAGGCUUUGAAACCACAAUAACAGUAUAGCCAAUGUGGUAAAAGUAUACAACCGACUAUCAAGCCAAUCACUCGGUGGAGUCAUUGGGGUAAAGCACACGAGCACCCAACGCUCAAGUAUUGCAUUUCACUUAUUCAGAUCAUUUGUAAACAAGAUAGAAAUCCUCUCUUCACUCAAAGCUGCCAAGCCUACCCGACCUCACUAAGGCGGGUCUCAGAUAGGGGUUCCAACAAAUGGCCCAGUUCAGCUGAUGCGAUCAAGUACGCAUCAGACCUACAUUUAUGCACAUUCAAGUCCACAUUCAAGAUCAUGGAAUUCAAGUUCACGGAAGUUGAGCGCGAUCAAGUACACACUUACCUAUGCACUAACAAUUCAAGAUAUUUGGCAAUUUUGAUCAACAAGUCACAUGAAGCAUCAAUCAAGUAAAUCACAUGGUCCUAACAUGCAGUUGGAACACUCACCACUAUAUUACGAUCUUUCCACUUCAAACCCUGGUUCUUCUUCUUGAACACUUUCAAGUCCUGUGAUCAUAUAGUACAUCAAGAGUCUAUCAACUCUAAACCAAUAUAAAUGAGAAAAUUUGGGUUUUGAAACUUCACUUAGAAGACACAUCAAUUUGCAGGUUUUAUCCUAAUAUAGCUUCCAAAAUUGCAAAGUUUUCUUAUUCAAAUCAAGGGGAAAAAUCACGUGCAUGCUAUAACAAUGUUUCAAGGAUAAUAUGGAGCACAAAUACAUCGAUUAUAGUUAAGAAUUUUGAAGAAAAUGGGACAAGACUCUUGAGAUUCAAAGCUGGAAAUUUCAAGCAAUAAAAUGGUUUGGAGAAAAAUCAUUUUCCUCAUCUUAAUCCUCUUUGUUUUGACUCAAACCAACAUACAUGUGAAGAUCAAAGUAUUAUCAAGUAUCUUGAGUAAAAGUAUGUCACAAUCACCCUAAACUUACAGCUCAAACUCUACCUUGCUCUCUCUUUCUCGAUCGACCAAAGAAGAAUUGGCAGCAACUUGUCCCCAAGUUUCUCUAUUUAAACCUCCAACUUUCAACCUUAUUUCCAUAACAAAUACACUAUCGAUCAAAACUAACAUGUCAUGAGGUGUAAGGCAUAUUCUUGGCAAAGGAAUCCCUCAAAAUUUCACAUAGAUAAACUCUAAACUAGGCUAUAUAUUUUAUGCACCAAAGUUGGAAAUUUACUAGAUCACUUGAAAAAAAAAAGUGAAAUCCUCUAUAAAAGUCCUUUCUUUAGUUUCUAUUACAUCAUACAUCAACUAAAUUCAAAGAUAAUAAAAAAAAAGAUAGGUUUCCUAGCAAAAUUCACCUUUUUACCUCCAAAACCUAGGAUAGAAAGCAAAUCAAGAAAGUUGCAAAGCUUCCUUCCUCCAAGAACUCCUCCAAGAGCUUCCUUCCAAGCUUGAUUCAAGAAUUGAUGGAGUAGAUUAGGGUUUCUCUCUUGUUUUCUCACUAAAUAGACAAGAAAUCAAGGUUUAAACCUUGUGUUUUCUGUCCCUUUUUUUUCUCCUCAAUGGUUC
rnacentral:lncRNA from 1 species